GGGGGCAGGCGGGAUCCUGGGCUGUGUCCCAGCGCCCUGUGCUCCGGGACCUGCGCUGGUGGAUUUGCGCUCCCGCCCCGCAGCCCCCU
rnacentral:pre_miRNA from 1 species